GUGCUCAAGAUUGUUCAAGACUCAAGACUUCUCAAAGGCUGCUCGAGACAUAAAGCCAAAUCCUACUGCUUCUUUAGUUCAUCAAGAAGACAACUUUAUGGUCUGGAUUUCCUAUGUGUAGAGUUGUGAGUAGAGCUUCCAGUAUAUUUGCACCUGCUGCUUCAUCACUUGCUUAUCAGGAUUCUGAGGGUAUUGAUAUCCAGUAGCAAGACAUAAAUCAAGAUGACUGGUGAUAGCCCAGCAUGCAAUGAAGGACCAUAGUGUUUUUGAUGUCCAAGUGAGCUCUAAGUGCUCCACAAUGCUGCAUUGGUUGAUUUUGAGAUGCCAUGGAGAGCCUUCUAGCUUUCUAUUUGUGGUCAAAGACUUGGCUCUCUCUCUGACCCAGAUUUUGCCAGAUCCCUUGUGCCCUACUGUUACCUUCCUGCAAAGGCUACACGACUAGUGAUCGCUGGUGACUUCAUCCUUUGGGUGCUGUUUAUGGAUGAGUAUGUUAAAAAUGCGGACAUUUAAUUAUCACUUAAUCCACAAAUUUAGGGUCUGACUGCAACAGGCUUUCUUCAGAAUAUUCAUUUGGAAAAUAUGCUUUCCUUUGAGUCAACCAGCUUUACAAGAGCUUGAAAAUUGGAAUGAUGCCCAUUGGGCCAUUCAAGCAACACAAGCAUUCUGCUUUUUAGCUGCUGCUCCCCAUGUCUAGGACUAGGACAUCUGUGCUGUUAGCCUGACACUCUCAAGCUGGCUUCAGAUCAUGCAUGAAUUUUCUGUGUGUGGGCUUCAAAAAGCUGUGAAAUAGAUCCAUUCAAGAUGAGCACACAUGAAAGAGCAUAGUAAAAAAGGCCAAUCAAUCAUUGGGAUUUGCAUGCCCCUUUUCUGAAAGCCCGUUACAGAGAGCAAUAGAACAGAGAAGAAAAUAUGACACUAGCUGUUCCUGUUCUACAUAGAGGAUGAUUUGAAUUAGAUUUAAAUAUAAGCCAGAGGAUCUUCAGAGAUGAUUCUUUUCUCCUCCUUCCUUCCCUCCUUUUCUUCCUUUUUUCUUUCUUUUUUUCUUUCCUCCCUUCCUUUCAUUUGCCCCUUCUCUCUCUUUCUCUAUCUCUGUCUGAGAUGCAUAAAUGGAAAGCUAUUUAAAAAUAUCUAGUACUAAAUACAGUCUAGCUCCUGGAGUAAUCUCUGACUACUGAAAACCUGUGUAGGCAACUUGCUUUUGCCUAAGUAUUUUUAUAAGCCAAAAGCACCAUGUAAUACAUUGGAUACUAUAAAUAUAGGGAGGGGGAAAAUUCUCUAUUUUGUCUUAGAUUAAGUAUAGAGUAAUAAAACCUUAUAUAGAUAAAUGAGAAGUAAAUACUGAGUUUAAUCAUAACAUUUCCAAGAUGUUUUCCCCAGACUACCAUUCACAGAACAGCAAAUCAUGAAACCAAACUCAAUCUACUAUUGACAAUAUGGGUUGUUAUUUUUUUAAAGUUUUAUUGCUAUGUUUUGUUUUUGCCAUGACAAAAUUUGUAGAUUAUUCAUCUUUCAUGGGAAAUAUUUUGUAAAUGGGCAAAACAAUAAAGUAAAAUUCCACA